rnacentral:rRNA from 1 species
AUUGAACGCUGGCGGCAGGCCUAACACAUGCAAGUCGAGCGGAUGAGAGGAGCUUGCUCUUCGAUUCAGCGGCGGACGGGUGAGUAAUGCCUAGGAAUCUGCCUGGUAGUGGGGGACAACGUUUCGAAAGGAACGCUAAUACCGCAUACGUCCUACGGGAGAAAGCAGGGGACCUUCGGGCCUUGCGCUAUCAGAUGAGCCUAGGUCGGAUUAGCUAGUUGGUGGGGUAAAGGCUCACCAAGGCGACGAUCCGUAACUGGUCUGAGAGGAUGAUCAGUCACACUGGAACUGAGACACGGUCCAGACUCCUACGGGAGGCAGCAGUGGGGAAUAUUGGACAAUGGGCGAAAGCCUGAUCCAGCCAUGCCGCGUGUGUGAAGAAGGUCUUCGGAUUGUAAAGCACUUUAAGUUGGGAGGAAGGGCAUUAACCUAAUACGUUAGUGUUUUGACGUUACCGACAGAAUAAGCACCGGCUAACUCUGUG